UACGUAGGGUGCGAGCGUUAAUCGGAAUUACUGGGCGUAAAGCGCGCGUAGGCGGCUGCUUAAGUCGGAUGUGAAAUCCCCGGGCUUAACCUGGGAACUGCAUUCGAUACUGAGCAGCUAGAGUAUGAGAGAGGGAGGUAGAAUUCCACGUGUAGCGGUGAAAUGCGUAGAUAUGUGGAGGAAUACCGGUGGCGAAGGCGGCCUCCUGGCUUAAUACUGACGCUGAGGUGCGAAAGCGUGGGGAGCAAACAGG
rnacentral:rRNA from 1 species